rnacentral:rRNA from 1 species
AUUGAACGCUGGCGGCAUGCCUUACACAUGCAAGUCGAACGGCAGCACGGGAGCAAUCCUGGUGGCGAGUGGCGAACGGGUGAGUAAUAUAUCGGAACGUGCCCAGUCGUGGGGAUAACGUAGCGAAAGCUACGCUAAUACCGCAUACGAUCUAUGGAUGAAAGCGGGGGAUCGCAAGACCUCGCGCGAUUGGAGCGGCCGAUAUCAGAUUAGGUAGUUGGUGAGGUAAAGGCUCACCAAGCCGACGAUCUGUAGCUGGUCUGAGAGGACGACCAGCCACACUGGGACUGAGACACGGCCCAGACUCCUACGGGAGGCAGCAGUGGGGAAUUUUGGACAAUGGGCGCAAGCCUGAUCCAGCAAUGCCGCGUGCAGGAUGAAGGCCUCGGUUGUAACGUAGUACGUUU